rnacentral:rRNA from 1 species
GGACAAUGGGCGAAAGCCUGAUCCAGCCAUGCCGCGUGUGUGAAGAAGGUCUUCGGAUUGUAAAGCACUUUAAGUUGGGAGGAAGGGCAGUUACCUAAUACGUGAUUGUUUUGACGUUACCGACAGAAUAAGCACCGGCUAACUCUGUG